CGGUAGCUCAGUUGGUAGAGCAAUGGACUGAAAAUCCAUGUGUCGGGGGUUCAAUUCCCUUCCCAACCA
rnacentral:tRNA from 1 species